UACAGAGGGUGCGAGCGUUAAUCGGAAUUACUGGGCGUAAAGCGUGCGUAGACGGUUAUCUAAGUCGAAUGUGAAAGCCCCGGGCUCAACCUGGGAAUUGCAUUCGAGACUGAAUAGCUAGGGUGCGGUAGAGGGAAGUGGAAUUUCCGGUGUAGCGGUGAAAUGCGUAGAUAUCGGAAGGAACAUCAGUGGCGAAAGCGACUUCCUGGACCAAUACUGACGCUGAGGAGCGAAAGCGUGGGGAGCGAACAGG
rnacentral:rRNA from 1 species